rnacentral:rRNA from 1 species
UUAGUCAAUGCUCGCAAGAGUGAACUAGCUAACUGAAAUCACAGGAUCCNUUACGUGUGGUGAAUGUAAUAACGUAAGGGAAAAAAAUGAUAUUACCUUACUAUUAGUGUUGUCCAAAACUGGUGCCAGAAGACUCGGUAAGGCCAGAGACGCAAACGUUAGUCGUCCUAAUCAGGCGUAAAGGGUAUGUAGGCUGCUUUAAAAGUUUUAUCUUUAAUAGCUCAGUAUAAAUAAUUUAUUUUUAUAUAAAGUACGAAGUUUUAUUUUUAUUUAAAAAAAAAAAAUAUUUUUAUUUUAAUACUGUAAAUAUAAAAUGAAUUAAAGCUAGGAUCAAAUUGAGGAUAAGUCAAAUAAUACUUAGUGUAGGGUUUAAAUCUGGUGAUACUAGGGGGAGUACUAAAGGUGAAAGCUUUUUAUCUAGAAAUGAUUGACGCUGAGAAACGAAGGUGAGAAAAGAAAAUAGGAUUAGAUACCCAGAUAUCUCUCACAGUCAACGAUGAAUGGUGGUUGUUAGUUAGUUUUAUCUGACUGAUAACGAUGUUAACACGAUAACCAUUCCGCCUUGCGAGUACGGUUGCAAAACUGAAACCAAAAAAAUUAGUCGGUCUCGAA